AGAAUCAACGCUGGCGGCGUGCCUAACACAUGCAAGUCGAACGAGAAAGUGGAGCAAUCCAUGAGUAAAGUGGCGACCGGGUGAGUAACACGUGACUAACCUACCUUCGAGUGGGGGAUAACCUCGGGAAACCGGGCUAAUACCGCAUAACAUCUUUGAAGUGGAAAUUUCGGAGAUCAAAGGGGCAAUUCGCUUGAAGAGGGGGUCGCGGCUGAUUAGCUAGUUGGCGGGUAACGCCCACAAGGCUUAGAUCGGUA
rnacentral:rRNA from 1 species